UACGAAGGGGACUAGCGUUGUUCGGAUUUACUGGGCGUAAAGCGCGCGUAGGCGGAUCGCUAAGUCAGGGGUGAAAUCCCAGGGCUCAACCCUGGAACUGCCUUUGAUACUGAGGAUCUUGAGUCCGGGAGAGGUGAGUGGAACUGCGAGUGUAGAGGUGAAAUUCGUAGAUAUUCGGAAGAACACCAGUGGCGAAGGCGGCUCACUGGACUGGUAUUGACGCUGAGGUGCGAAAGCGUGGGGAGCAAACAGG
rnacentral:rRNA from 1 species